NNNNNNNNNNNNNNNNNNNNNNNNNNNNNNNNNNNNNNNNNNNNNNNNNNNAAGAAAGGAGAAAAAAAGGUGGUGGGGGAAGGAAACAAAUCAAAAAGCAAAACAAAACAAAAACAAAAACAAAAACAAACAAACAAAAAAAGAACCACCGGGGAGUAUCUUCUGAUUCUGUGUUCUUUAAGUCCCUUGGCUUCUCCUGGAAGUUGUCAGUCAGCUGGUGUUCUGGGGGAGGGGCCUGUUGUGCUGAUUCUCAGGUGUUAGCAGUUGGGGGAGCUGCUGUGCCCCUGCCUGGUGCAGGGCUCAGUGGGGGUUGUUUACCCCCUGAGGCCGCAGGAGGAACAGCCCCAGUGGCGAGGCAGCUCUGGAAACCUGGAUUCAGCUCCGGCAGGAACUCCGUCUGCAGGGCCUGGAGGCUCCGGGGCGGGGCCGCUGAUCUGCUCAGCUGGGGCAGGAGCGUCCUUGCUGUCCUGGGCCCUCCCGGCCUCUGCCUGUCCCGGGGGAGGCGGGAUCCUGGGCUGUGUCCCGGCGCCCUGUGCUCCGGAGCCUGCGCUGGUGGAUUCGCGCUCCCGGGCCGCGCAGCCCCUUCCGCGGAGCUGCCGCCGGAGCCCCUCCGAGCUGCUCCUGGAACCGCGCAGGCCCCUCUGCACGGAGCCUCUUCCUCUGCCCGAGCCCCUCCGAGCUGCUCCUGGGGCCGCGCAGCCCCCUCCGCGGAGCCGCCGCCCGAGCCCCCCGAGCUGCUCCGGGUCCCGCCGGUCCCGCCGGGUCCCGCCGUGCGCGCUGCAGCCCUUAGGGAGCUCGGCGCACUCUCCUGGGCGCGCAGUUGCUGUUACUGUCCCGGGGAGCCCGAGGGCAUCCUCGCCCUCCUGGGUCCUGCUCCAACUCCCUGCGAGCCCCUUUCCGCCCGGGAAGGUCGGUGCAGCUCCUGCUCCUCCGGGACGGGGCUCUCCUGUCCUGGGGACACUCGCCCCGGCCUCAGCCCGGCUCCUCGCGGGGCCCCUCCCCCUUGGAGGCCUUUGUUUCUUUAUUUCUUUUUCCCCGUCUUCCUACCUUGAUAGAUGCACGAACUCUUCUCACUGUAGCGUUCCAGCUGGUCUCUCUUUAAAUCUCAGGCCGAAUUCAUAGGGAUUCUGUAUGCCUUUGAUGCACCCUUAUCCUUGUAUGUGAGGGUGUGUGUGUAUACAUGUGCACGUGUGUGUGUGUGUUCACACUUUCUUACUUUCUGGCACUCCAGAUGCUCCAGGCUCAUCUUGUAUAUUUCCUACCCCAAUCCUAAAACCAGCCAUUUCUCUGAGGAGCCCUGGUUCCUCUUAUUGGACAGCGGUAUGAGAAACAAACCACAGAUCUAAU
rnacentral:lncRNA from 12 species